rnacentral:sRNA from 1 species
UCGAACUGUGCCCCACUGCUCCUUCAGGU